CUGGUGAUCACACUCGGGCAGUGGUGGCGGCGGCGGAUACACAAGAGCAGCAUCUGAGAAAUUUGGCUCACUUUUGCAGGAAGACUGGGGUUCUCCGAAGGAGCAGGAAUUCCUCUGCAGGAAUUUUUCUGGAAGCAUGCAAGGCAGCCGCAGUUGGUUGAGGUACAGCCACCCUCUCCUCGGGGAACUUCAUCUCAUGUGGCGUCUUGACAAGUACACCGGGAGGUUCACAAAUAAACAAGGGACUGCAUCACUCUUUAAUGCCCAUGGAUCAUUAUCUAUUUUGACUUCUCCAUUUAUGACAUCCUUAAGUCUUCAGGAUGUCGAUUUCUUGAAACUGAACAUCGUGCACGUUGCAUGUCUUUACCAAACUUCUGUCCACGUGUGGAAUACAACUUUCCCACUUCUGCAAUAAAAGCAAGUCAGACGGCGGAGAGAAGUGG